rnacentral:rRNA from 1 species
ACGAACGCUGGCGGCGCGCCUAACACAUGCAAGUCGAACGGAGCUUAGAGAGCUUGCUUUUUAAGCUUAGUGGCGAACGGGUGAGUAACGCGUGAGUAACCUGCCCUAGAGUGGGGGACAACAGUUGGAAACGACUGCUAAUACCGCAUAAGCCCACGGUACCGCAUGGUACUGAGGGAAAAGGAUUUAUUCGCUUUAGGAUGGACUCGCGUCCAAUUAGCUAGUUGGUGAGGUAACGGCCCACCAAGGCGACGAUUGGUAGCCGGACUGAGAGGUUGAACGGCCACAUUGGGACUGAGACACGGCCCAGACUCCUACGGGAGGCAGCAGUGGGGGAUAUUGCACAAUGGGGGAAACCCUGAUGCAGCGACGCCGCGUGGAGGAAGAAGGUUUUCGGAUUGUAAACUCCUGUCGUUAGGGACGAUAAUGACGGUACCUAACAAGAAAGCACCGGCUAACUACGUGCCAGCAGCCGCGGUAAAACGUAGGGUGCAAGCGUUGUCCGGAAUUACUGGGUGUAAAGGGAGCGCAGGCGGAAAGACAAGUUGGAAGUGAAAACCAUGGGCUCAACCCAUGAAUUGCUUUCAAAACUGUUUUUCUUGAGUAGUGCAGAGGUAGAUGGAAUUCCCGGUGUAGCGGUGGAAUGCGUAGAUAUCGGGAGGAACACCAGUGGCGAAGGCGGUCUACUGGGCACCAACUGACGCUGAGGCUCGAAAGCAUGGGUAGCAAACAGGAUUAGAUACCCUGGUAGUCCAUGCCGUAAACGAUGAUUACUAGGUGUUGGGGGAUUGACCCCCUCAGUGCCGCAGUUAACACAAUAAGUAAUCCACCUGGGGAGUACGACCGCAAGGUUGAAACUCAAAGGAAUUGACGGGGGCCCGCACAAGCAGUGGAGUAUGUGGUUUAAUUCGAAGCAACGCGAAGAACCUUACCAAGGCUUGACAUAUACAGGAAUAUAUAAGAGAUUAUAUAGCUCUUCGGAGUCUGUAUACAGGUGGUGCAUGGUUGUCGUCAGCUCGUGUCGUGAGAUGUUGGGUUAAGUCCCGCAACGAGCGCAACCCCUGUGAUUAGUUGCCAGCGAGUAAUGUCGGGAACUCUAAUCAGACUGCCGGUGAUAAAUCGGAGGAAGGUGGGGACGACGUCAAAUCAUCAUGCCCUUUAUGUCUUGGGCUACACACGUACUACAAUGGCUAUAACAAAGAGAAGCGAGACAGUGAUGUGGAGCAAAACUCAAAAAAAUAGUCUCAGUUCGGAUUGAAGGCUGAAAUUCGCCUUCAUGAAGCUGGAAUUGCUAGUAAUGGCAGGUCAGCAUACUGCCGUGAAUACGUUCCCGGGCCUUGUACACACCGCCCGUCACACCAUGAGAGUUGGGGAUACCCGAAGCCUGUGAGCCAACAGUUAAAUGAGGCAGCAGUCGAAGGUAGAAUCAAUGAUUGGGGUG